UUUCCACAGAGCUGGGACCGAGUGAGUCGGCCGACGAUUACGGUAAAAGUAUCGCGCCAUAGACAGGGACCACCCGAGUUGGUUUCAUAUUUUGUUUAGUUGCAUACCCUUUAUAUCAUCUUUUGUAUUUUGAUGAUUAUAGAUGCAUGAAUGAUGGUUAAAUGUAAAGAGAGCUUAUGUUUGAAUGAAAAGGCAUAUUUUGGAAGAUCAUGUGAUGUAAUGAGAAGAAAUGAUGUUUAAAGAAAAGAAUGCAAAUGUGUAUAUUGAAUGCAUGUAUAUGGUUAAAAGUUAAUCAUGUUACUUGUAUAUUGUUAGUUUAGAAUCUUUCACUUUGGCUACUGCUUGCCCUCGUA
rnacentral:lncRNA from 1 species